rnacentral:rRNA from 1 species
CUCAAGUGGUCAGGAUGAUUAUUGGGCCUAAAGCAUCCGUAGCCGGCUCUGUAAGUUUUCGGUUAAAUCUGUACGCUUAACGUACAGGCUGCCGGGAAUACUGCARAGCUAGGGAGUGGGAGAGGUAGACGGUACUCGGUAGGAAGUGGUAAAAUGCUUUGAUCUAUYGAUGACCACCUGUGGCGAAGGCGGUCUACCAGAACACGUCCGACGGUGAGGGAUGAAAGCUGGGGGAGCAAACCGGAUUAGAUACCCGGGUAGUCCCAGCUGUAAACUAUGCAAACUCAGUGAUGCAUUGGCUUGUGGCCAAUGCAGUGCUGCAGGGAAGCCGUUAAGUUUGCCGCCUGGGAAGUACGUACGCAAGUAUGAAACUUACUCAAGUGGUCAGGAUGAUUAUUGGGCCUAAAGCAUCCGUAGCCGGCUCUGUAAGUUUUCGGUUAAAUCUGUACGCUUAACGUACAGGCUGCCGGGAAUACUGCARAGCUAGGGAGUGGGAGAGGUAGACGGUACUCGGUAGGAAGUGGUAAAAUGCUUUGAUCUAUYGAUGACCACCUGUGGCGAAGGCGGUCUACCAGAACACGUCCGACGGUGAGGGAUGAAAGCUGGGGGAGCAAACCGGAUUAGAUACCCGGGUAGUCCCAGCUGUAAACUAUGCAAACUCAGUGAUGCAUUGGCUUGUGGCCAAUGCAGUGCUGCAGGGAAGCCGUUAAGUUUGCCGCCUGGGAAGUACGUACGCAAGUAUGAAACUUA